UACGUAGGGGGCAAGCGUUGUCCGGAAUUAUUGGGCGUAAAGAGCGCGUAGGCGGUCCGGUAAGUCGGCUGUGAAAGUCAAGGGCUCAACCCUUGAAAGCCGGCCGAUACUGUCGGACUAGAGUCCGGAAGAGGCGAGUGGAAUUCCCGGUGUAGCGGUGAAAUGCGCAGAUAUCGGGAGGAACACCCGUGGCUAAGGCGGCUCUCUAGUACGGUACUGACGCUGAGACGCGAAAGCGUGGGGAGCGAACAGG
rnacentral:rRNA from 1 species